rnacentral:rRNA from 1 species
GACGAACGCUGGCGGCAUGCCUAACACAUGCAAGUCGAGCGAGCUGAUUUCUUCGGAAUGCAUCAGUGGCAGACGGGUGAGUAACACGUGGGAACCUUCCUAGGGGUACGGAACAACUCAGGGAAACUUGAGCUAAUACCGUAUACGUCCGUGAGGAAAAAGAUUUAUCGCCCUUAGACGGGCCCGCGUCGGAUUAGCUAGUUGGUGGGGUAACGGCCUACCAAGGCGACGAUCCGUAGCUGAUCUUAGAGGAUGAUCAGCCACACUGGGACUGAGACACGGCCCAGACUCCUACGGGAGGCAGCAGUGGGGAAUCUUGGACAAUGGGCGCAAGCCUGAUCCAGCCAUGCCGCGUGAGUGAAGAAGGUCUUCGGAUUGUAAAGCUCUUUUGCCAGGGACGAUAAUGACGGUACCUGGAGAAUAAGCCCCGGCAAACUUCGUGCCAGCCGCCGCUGUAA